AGCGAGUGGCGAACUGGUGAGUAACACGUGGGUAACCUGCCCCGAAGCGGGGGAUAACAUUUGGAAACAAGUGCUAAUACCGCAUAAUUAGUUGGAACCGCAUGGUUCCAACUUGAAAGAUGGCUCUGCUAUCACUUUGGGAUGGACCCGCGCCGUAUUAGUUAGUUGGUGAGAUAAAAGCCCACCAAGACGAUGAUACGUAGCCGACCUGAGAGGGUAAUCGGCCACAUUGGGACUGAGACACGGCCCAGACUCCUACGGGAGGCAGCAGUAGGGAAUCUUCCACAAUGGACGAAAGUCUGAUGGAGCAACGCCGCGUGAGUGAUGAAGGUUUUCGGAUCGUAAAACUCUGUUGUUAAAGAAGAACAAGUGUUAGAGUAACUGUUAACACUUUGACGGUAUUUAACCAGAAAGCCACGGCUAACUACGUGCCAGCAGCCGCGGUAAUACGUAGGUGGCAAGCGUUGUCCGGAUUUAUUGGGCGUAAAGCGAGCGCAGGCGGUUUUGUAAGUCUGCUGUGAAAGCCCUCAGCUCAACUGAGGAAGUGCAGUGGAAACUACAAAACUUGAGUACAGAAGAGGAAAGUGGAACUCCAUGUGUAGCGGUGAAAUGCGUAGAUAUAUGGAAGAACACCAGUGGCGAAGGCGGCUUUCUGGUCUGUUACUGACGCUGAGGCUCGAAAAGCAUGGGUAGCGAACAGGAUUAGAUACCCUGGUAGUCCAUGCCGUAAACGAUGAAUACUAGGUGUUGGAGGGUUUCCGCCCUUCAGUGCCGCAGCUAACGCAUUAAGUAUUCCGCCUGGGGAGUACGACCGCAAGGUUGAAACUCAAAGGAAUUGACGGGGGCCCGCACAAGUGGUGGAGCAUGUGGUUUAAUUCGAUGCUACGCGAAGAACCUUACCAGCUCUUGACAUCUUCUGCCAACCCAAGAGAUUGGGCGUUCCCUUCGGGGACAGAAUGACAGGUGGUGCAUGGUUGUCGUCAGCUCGUGUCGUGAGAUGUUGGGUUAAGUCCCGCAACGAGCGCAACCCUUAUUAUUAGUUGCCAGCAUUUAGUUGGGCACUCUAGUGAGACUGCCGGUGAUAAACCGGAGGAAGGUGGGGACGACGUCAAAUCAUCAUGCCCCUUAUGAGCUGGGCUACACACGUGCUACAAUGGAUGGUACAACGAGUCGCGAAACCGCGAGGUCAAGCUAAUCUCUUAAAGCCAUUCUCAGUUCGGAUUGCAGGCUGCAACUCGCCUGCAUGAAGUUGGAAUCACUAGUAAUCGUGGAUCAGCAUGCCACGGUGAAUACGUUCCCGGGCCUUGUACACACCGCCCGUCACACCAUGAGAGUUUGUAACACCCA
rnacentral:rRNA from 2 species